AUGGAUUCAAACAUUAUUAACAUAAAUGUUUUAAGAAUUUUUAAUGACUUCGAUAUUAGUGUUAGUACAGGAAAGAGUAUUCAACACACAACACGAUGUAUGAAUUUGAAGACCCCUUUAUCUGGCUGAGAAAUAGUUUUCAUAUUAAUGAAAGCAACAACACCAUGACAAAAAAAAUUUAUGUUUUACUUAUUUUAAUUUACUCAUUUGCCCAGUGUUUCCAAAUUUAUUACAUGUUCAAAAAUUUCAACAUGAACCUUUUAAUUAGAUAUGGUCCAGCGAUUAUACUUUUCAUACUUGUAAUUCUUGUUGCUACGCUUUUUCUCUAUAUAGAACAGGAUAUGUUCAAAGCACUGACAUUUUUUGAUAAAAUUAGUUGGUCUUUUAGUAUGAUAAGGGAAGAUGCUCAGAUUAGGCUCAAGAGAAAAUGUCUAAUAAUAAACAUUUGUAUAUUAUUUAUUCUGCUACUUGUCGUAACAACAAUAACUAUCGGUGCUCCGUAUUUUGGAAAUCAGAGAGAGCUUUUUAUUUGUAUUCAAAUUUUUGAGGAAUAUUUUGGCAAAUGGUCGCCUAUUCCUUACUACUUUUAUUUCGUGGGAUUUCCGUUUUUAUAUUAUAAUUUUUUUAAAGCUUGGACGGUUUUCGUUUAUGGAAUUUUAGAAGUACAGUUACAAUUCAAUCUUGUUGAAGAGUAUCUAAUUGAAAGCAAUAAAAUUAAUGAUUUUAAAGGAUGGAAACAUUUACAAGACACUCGUUAUCAGCAAGAAAUAGGAAAAUCGUUACAACUUUGCAUCACGCACCACAUUGCUUUAAAAAAGUCUUAAACUUCUCAUUUUCAUGAUGUCAUUAUUUUUGAACAAAUUAUUUUAAGGCUGGUGAAUAAAAUUAUAAAUUUUACAAUGACAGGAAUGCCGUUUUUUCUUGUACUUGGAGUUUCACUGCUUAUUUGUUCGUUAGCAUUUAUCAUAAAUUUUGCGCACACAAUGAGCAACAUUUUAAAAAUUCGAAUACUCAUAUUUGUCGCUACUAAUGUGUGUCUAACAAUACUGUUGUGUUGGAUUGGUCAACAACUCAUAGAUGCGACGAGCAAUAUAUUUUCCUCUUUGGUUGGAGCUCCUUGGUACUUUUGGAAUCUUAAAAACACUAAAACUCUUUUGAUGUUUCUAAUAAAUUGUACCAAAAAUGAUAGUAUUGUUUUGGCUGGGAUCUGUUUAGAUUACAGAUUAUUUGUUUCUGUGCGUACAUCAUCCGUCAGAUAUUUAAUUUCUCGCUUUAAUUUUUAUUUCAGAUAUCACGGAUCACCGUCUCAUAUGCCCUAGUUUUGCAAAAGUACUAGUCUGCUUUGAAUGAAAAACAUCUAGAAAUAAAGAAACUUGUGUUUCUUCUCGCGUAUUAUUUACGUUUUCCAAUUGCAAAAUACGAUUGGAUCUACCUAUCCAUGUGAACAAAGGCAUUAUUGAUGGGUAUUUAAAAUAAUUAGAACUUGGAGUUAGCUUUUUACUUUUCACAUCUCUUUAAGGCAAAUAAUUGCAUAAAUUAAUCUUCCUUCUGAACUAAAAUGCUUAAAUAAGUGUUAUGAGUGUGCAGAAUAAAGUUUAUUGUCUAACACCUAAUUUGAGAGAUCUUUUUGUACAAACUAAUCACCUCAUGUCAGUGUCAAAUGUCAAAUAACGUACAAUGUUAAUUGUACGUUAUUUGAAAUACGAUUAACAAAGAUCGUCGGUUUUCUAAAUUUUGUGUUAUUUAUAAUCUAAAUAACCAAUAAGUCUUUUCCGGUUAUAUUAUUCAAGGACACAAAUGAGCUCAAGAAGUUUUAAAUAAAGUGUUACGACCCAAAAUCCGUCAAAGGAUUUGGAAGGAAAACAUGGCGGCGCGAGAGCCACAGCGACGGGGUGAUAAGCGCUGCGACGGUACGGCGGCAGUAUUGAGACGACUGCGAAAUUAUGAUUGUGUGUUUGUGACUUGUAAUACGAAAUUGUGAAAAAUAAAUUGAUCAUUUGAGAAA